rnacentral:rRNA from 1 species
GACAGAGGGUGCAAACGUUGUUCGGAAUUACUGGGCGUAAAGCGCACGUAGGCGGCUUUGUAAGUCAGAGGUGAAAGCCUGGAGCUCAACUCCAGAACUGCCUUUGAGACUGCAUCGCUAGAAUUGUGGAGAGGUAAGUGGAAUUCCGAGUGUAGAGGUGAAAUUCGUAGAUAUCGAGAGGAACACCGGUGGCGAAGGCGGCCUGCUGGGCUGUUGCUGACGCUG